rnacentral:rRNA from 1 species
GUGGCGGACGGGUGAGUAACGCGUGAGAAUCUGCCCUCAGGAGGGGGAUAACGGCUGGAAACGGCCGCUAAUACCCCAUAUGCCGAGAGGUGAAAUGAGUAAUCGCCUGAGGAUGAGCUCGCGUCUGAUUAGCUAGUUGGUGGGGUAAGAGCCUACCAAGGCUUCGAUCAGUAGCUGGUCUGAGAGGAUGAUCAGCCACACUGGGACUGAGACACGGCCCAGACUCCUACGGGAGGCAGCAGUGGGGAAUUUUCCGCAAUGGGCGAAAGCCUGACGGAGCAACGCCGCGUGAGGGAUGAAGGCCUCUGGGCUGUAAACCUCUUUUAUCAAGGAAGAAGAUCUGACGGUACUUGAUGAAUAAGCCACGGCUAAUUCCGUGCCAGCAGCCGCGGUAAUACGGGAGUGGCAAGCGUUAUCCGGAAUUAUUGGGCGUAAAGCGUCCGCAGGCGGCCUUUUAAGUCUGUUGUCAAAGCGUGGAGCUUAACUCCAUUUCGGCAAUGGAAACUGGGAGGCUUGAGUGUGGUAGGGGCAGAGGGAAUUCCCGGUGUAGCGGUGAAAUGCGUAGAUAUCGGGAAGAACACCAGUGGCGAAGGCGCUCUGCUGGGCCAUAACUGACGCUCAUGGACGAAAGCCAGGGGAGCGAAAGGGAUUAGAUACCCCUGUAGUCCUGGCCGUAAACGAUGAACACUAGGUGUCGGGGGAAUCGACCCCCUCGGUGUCGUAGCCAACGCGUUAAGUGUUCCGCCUGGGGAGUACGCACGCAAGUGUGAAACUCAAAGGAAUUGACGGGGGCCCGCACAAGCGGUGGAGUAUGUGGUUUAAUUCGAUGCAACGCGAAGAACCUUACCAGGGUUUGACAUCCUGCGAACCCCUUGGAAACGAGGGGGUGCCUUCGGGAGCGCAGUGACAGGUGGUGCAUGGCUGUCGUCAGCUCGUGUCGUGAGAUGUUGGGUUAAGUCCCGCAACGAGCGCAACCCACGUCUUUAGUUGCCAGCAUUCAGUUGGGCACUCUAGAGAGACCGCCGGUGAUAAACCGGAGGAAGGUGUGGAUGACGUCAAGUCAUCAUGCCCCUUACAUCCUGGGCUACACACGUACUACAAUGCUACGGACAAAGGGCAGCAAACUCGCGAGAGCUAGCAAAUCCCAUAAACCGUGGCUCAGUUCAGAUCGUAGGCUGCAACUCGCCUACGUGAAGGAGGAAUCGCUAGUAAUCGCAGGUCAGCAUACUGCGGUGAAUACGUUCCCGGGCCUUGUACACACCGCCCGUCACACCAUGGAAGUUGGCCACGCCCGAAGCCGUUACUCCAACCCUUGUGGAGGAGGACGUCGAAGGUGGGGCUGAUGACCGGGGUGAAGUCGUAACAAGGUAGCCGUACCGGAAGGUGC